rnacentral:rRNA from 1 species
UACGUAGGGGGCAAGCGUUGUCCGGAAUCAUUGGGCGUAAAGAGCGUGUAGGCGGCUCGGUAAGUCCGCUGUAAAAGUCCAGGGCUCAACCCUGGAAAGCCGGUGGAAACUGUCGAGCUAGAGUCCGGAAGAGGCGAGUGGAAUUCCUGGUGUAGCGGCGAAAUGCGCAGAUAUCAGGAGGAACACCAAUGGCGAAGGCAGCUCGCUGGGACGGUACUGACGCUGAGACGCGAAAGCGUGGGGAGCAAACAGG